UGUAAAAUAAGCUAAAGCUAAAGCUAUUGGGUUCAUACCCCAAAAAUGAAUAAUGAUUCUUUUACAAC
rnacentral:tRNA from 1 species